rnacentral:rRNA from 1 species
CGCCGCGUGAGUGAUGAAGGUUUUCGGAUCGUAAAGCUCUGUUGUUAGGGAAGAACAAGUGCAAGAGUAACUGCUUGCACCUUGACGGUACCUAACCAGAAAGCCACGGCUAACUACGUGCCAGCAGCCGCGGUAAUACGUAGGUGGCAAGCGUUGUCCGGAAUUAUUGGGCGUAAAGGGCUCGCAGGCGGUUUCUUAAGUCUGAUGUGAAAGCCCCCGGCUCAACCGGGGAGGGUCAUUGGAAACUGGGAAACUUGAGUGCAGAAGAGGAGAGUGGAAUUCCACGUGUAGCGGUGAAAUGCGUAGAGAUGUGGAGGAACACCAGUGGCGAAGGCGACUCUCUGGUCUGUAACUGACGCUGAGGAGCGAAAGCGUGGGGAGCGAACAGGAUUAGAUACCCUGGUAGUCCACGCCGUAAACGAUGAGUGCUAAGUGUUAGGGGGUUUCCGCCCCUUAGUGCUGCAGCUAACGCAUUAAGCACUCCGCCUGGGGAGUACGGUCGCAAGACUGAAACUCAAAGGAAUUGACGGGGGCCCGCACAAGCGGUGGAGCAUGUGGUUUAAUUCGAAGCAACGCGAAGAACCUUACCAGGUCUUGACAUCCUCUGACAACCCUAGAGAUAGGGCUUUCCCUUCGGGGACAGAGUGACAGGUGGUGCAUGGUUGUCGUC